rnacentral:lncRNA from 13 species
ACAAAAAAAAAAAAAAAGAAGAAAGAAAGAAAGAAAAAUAAAAAAUUAGCCAGGAGUGGUGGUGCAUGUCUGUAGUCCCAGUUACUUGGGAAGCUGAGGUAGGAGAAUCAAUCAUGUGAGCCCCGGAGGUGGAGGGUGCAGUGAGCUGUGAUCACAUCAUUGUAUUCCAGCCUAGAUGACAGAGCAAUAACCUGUCUCGGGAAAAAAAAAAAAAAAGUUAAUUUUUGUUAAAAAAUAGUUACAGAGGCUGGGCAUGCUGGCUCAUGCCUGUAAUCCCAGCACUUUGGGAGGCUGAGGUGGGUAGAUCAUGAGGUCAGGAGUUCAAGACCAGCCUGGCCAAGAUGGUGAAACCCCAUCUCUAUUAUUAGAAAAAAAUAAAGUUGCAGAAUUUUACAAAACUACUCUUUAAGAGGAACUUUAUCCUUCCCAUUUUACAGAUGCCUCUUGGAAUAAUCAAGAAGAUACUUCAGCACGUUUUCCACCUAUCCUUUGCUUUUCCCAUAGGAAGAGGAAUGAUUAAAAUCUCACUCUAUAGCCCAGGCUGGAGUGCAGUGGUGCGAUCUUGGGUCACUGCAACCACUGCCUCAAAGAUUCAAGAGAUUCUCCUGCCUCAGCCUUCCAAGUGCUAUAUCGAACUCAGCACAGAAAGUCAACACCAGAACAAAAGUAUGCCAAAUUACAGGGUUGAUUGCCGGCGACCACGGAGGACUCACGUCUCUCCAACCCGUGGCCCCAAAAGAAGAGAGACAAGACCUUUUUAUACCCACAAAAACCACCUUGGGAGUGGGGGUGGAGAUGGGAAUGAAAGCUGUCAAUCACCUCUCAGGCUAAGACGAGGGUGAGGGGCUUCAGACAUGCUGGGGGCCAGUGGAUUCAAAUCACCUUCUGGGCGGAGAGGAGGGUGAGGGGGUUCCGGACAUUUUGAGGGCCAGGGGACUAUUUGACAUUCUGAUUGUUAUUUAAGGGGUUCACAGAUGCUAAGAUUAGCAUUCAUUUACACAUCAUCUGGGUAGGGGUGGGAUCCAUAGAUUUUCAGUUGCUUGGCGCCAGGAUGGAAUUAUCUGGGGUGCUUACUCUGGGAAACAAAGGCCAGCAAUUCUGGCAUUUACAGAUAAGAGAAGGUAUGCAGCUUUACCUCUCUUUCCAUCCUGCAAAUAAUCUAGCAGUUUACAGAAGCCAAGGUUAGCAGUCCUUGUGAGGAGAAUGGAAACAUUUUUGUCUUUUAUAAGAUGGCAGUGUACAGGUUCCAACUUAAGUUAGCUAUAUCACACAAGUACCUGGGACAAUAGGUGUGCACCACCAUACCCAGCUAAUUUUUGUAUUUUUUGGUAGAGACAGGCUUUCACCAUGUUGACAAGGCUGGUCUCGAACUCCUGACCUCGAGUAAUUGGCCCAACUGAGCCUCCCAAAGUGGUGAUCCUGGGUUUUAAGGAGCAUAGGGGACAUACCACUACCCACUUACUGAAUGUAUUCUAAAUAAGUUUUCUUAACCACAUUUUUUUUAUAUUCCAGUAUUGGAAAGUUUUAUCUACAGAAGUCAUGUAUUCUAUAUUCUAUACCUGUCCUCCACAAAGCUUUCUGUUUGAUUCUCUCAGGCAGUUAAGUAAUUUCCUUCUUUGCACUCCCACAGCUCCUAUACUUCGUGCUUAUAGUAUUACCGCACUGCCUUGUAACUGAAGGAUAUCUCUAGGUUGUAACUUUCAAGAGGCAGCUUAGUCAUUUUUAUACUAGGUAUAUAGCAAGGAACUACCAUAUGCAAGACUUGCUCCAAAGGCACUUACAUGACAUUCUGAUAACCAAGAGAGAAUUUGUAGAAAUAGCAAGUCAUAUUUCUUAAUCUUUUUCAAUUUAAGAUAAGCAACAAGUUGGGAAACUGACAUGUGAGAAUGGUAACAAUAGCAGCUAACACUAAAUAAUACUCACAGUGUGUCAGGCACAGUUUUGUGUGCUUUCAUAACCCUUUGAGGUUGCAACUGUUGUCCAUGUUUUGUAAGCAAAGCUAGAAAAGCACAAAGUUAUGUGACUUGCCUAAGGUCACACAGCCAAUAAGAUAGGAAGAACUGAAACUAGAGUUUAGUGUGAAAUUUGUAUGUGUUCAGGUCCUAAAUUUACAAAUCUGUUGAAGGAAAGGGAAAUAGAACUUACUGCUCUUAUUUAGAUAAUUAUGUUUCUCCUUCAGCAGUGAAAUUUGAAUGAUUUUUUGUUGUUUUGUUUCAGAAGCUGAGUGUAGGUUUAUUUAUUAUUGCUGAGCAGAGUCUUGCUCUGUUACCCAGGCUGGAGUGCAAUGGCACCGUCACUGCAGAGUUAACAUCUCGGGCUCAAGCAAUCCUCCCAUCUCAGCCUCCCGAGGGGUUAUGAUUAAUUACAGUCACACACCACCAUGCCCGGCUAAUUUUUUGUAUUUUUUUUUAAGAAAUGGGGUUUCCUGAUGUUGUCUAGCUUGGUCUCAAACUCCUGGGCUCACGUCAUCCUCCCAAAAUGCUGGGAUUACAGGUAUGAGCCACCAUUCCUGGCCUGAGUAUGGGUUUAGAAAUGUAAGCAUGACUUCAGAGUUCCAAAAGGUACUGAAAAAGUAGCAUUGAUUUAGCAGAAAUAAAUAUGUUUGCAGUCAUCA